rnacentral:lncRNA from 1 species
GUAACCUAUAAAUUUAGGGUUUCCAAUCAAGUCAAAUUAUGAAAGUUGGAGUUGGCUUAGUUACGUAGUAUGCAUGCCUCUACACUACUGUAUUUAUUACAUAACUAUACUAAGAGAUUACCUAUGCUCUUCAUUCCUGCUUAUUUUCUCCCCUGUAUCAUAUUUUUAACUUGAAAAGUAGCCUAAGGCUGCCAUCAUGUUUGCUAGAUUUUCCAUGAGCUCAGAGCACAAGGUUUAAAGUUCCUUUUAGCUGCAUUGACUUAGCAGGUGUCUGAAGUGGCAGCCUUUCCCCUCCCUUUUCCCCUGUGUUAUGCCUUUACCUACCUCAGCAGUGGUGUUCAGUCCCUGCCUCUGGUUGCUAAGAAGAAAGAGAAAGAUCUGGUAUCUCCAAGGAAUGGCCUGUCCCUAGGGUGACACCACCAAAGGAUAAUCCUUCCCUUCAUCCAUUAUUUGUCCUCUUAAACAAAACCUUCCACAUGGCUAAUACCUGCUGAUGGCCAAAUUUCCCCCUUUCCCUUUAAAUGUUUACCUGGCAAGUCCCUGGUGGUCUGAGGUGGCCACUGUGGGGACAUGCCCUCCUCUGUAGGGUGCGGCAAUGAGACUCAGAGGGGGUUAUGGUUUGUGUGUGAGGGGUUCCCUGAAAAGCUCCUGUGUUCGACAACGCAGCAGGGUCAGAGGGGAAACGACAAAUCAUGGAACCUCAACCUGAUCCAGGUGUUAAUCCAUUUGUUGUUACUGUGAUUUGAAUGGGUCAUACCCAUAGGCAGGUGGGGACUUGCUGGGGCCAGCAGGUCAUUAGAGACAUGCCUACAGGAUGAUAUUUUGGCCCUGGACACUCAUGUGUCCUCCAUGAUCCUGGCUUCCCACCCUGGCUGCCAUGGACUGAGCAGGUGUCCACCACAUGCCCUCCUGUCAUGGACGACCUGCCUUGGUGCCAGCUUAAGUGGAACUGACCUCUGAAACUGUGAGCCCCAAACAACCUUUCCUCCACCAAGUUGUUCUUGUCAAGUACUUUAGUUACAAUUACCCAAAGUUGAGUAAUGCGGAGGGGCUAGGGUGGUCAUCCAGGAGAGCAACAGUGGUAUCAACUGUGUUUUUAAUUAUUUUAUUUUGUGACAGUUUAAUUUAAGGGAGAGACAUUUAGCCUGUCACUGGUAGCAGCACUUCAAAGUCCAAGCACAUUGCC